AAUUCAUUUACAUCUUAUAUAUCCCACCAUCCAGAGCAAAAUUCACUUAAGUACUGUACUGGUGGAAAUUGGGCAGUACUAUGGAGACAAUAAAAAGGUGUUUACCAUCAAAAAACGUCAAGAUACUGGCACCAAACUUUCAAACCAUAAGAACCUUCCCAUAAGUCCCUUGCCAGGCAAGAUUAAGGUAUAACAAUCCAAACAGAUUUUUGAAGAAGAUAACUGGUUGAAAGCACAGGAAAAGAGCUGGGUUGCUCUUUUUCAACAGUCACAUAAUGAGUAAUGUGGGAAUUGGUUUACAAAGUCUCUCUCCAUGAGGGGCUAAGGUUAAGAUUAGAACUUCUGAGGCCAGAAGAGCAAAAUAACUACAACAACACACAUAUUUUCAAGAGGCGCCCUUUGGAUGUGAGGGAUUGAUUUUUCCCACUCUUUUUUCAGCAGCCGAACUGGUGUCUUUAUUAAAUGACAUAAGAGAAUACAGUGUGGCCAAGAAGGCUUAGAUUUCCUUAGCCCCAAGUCAGAUAUUCUCAAGUGACUGUCCACUCAAAUUAAAAAGAGAGAUUUACAAGAGGAAACUGGA